rnacentral:rRNA from 1 species
UUAAGUUAUUAAGGGCGCACGGUGGAUGCCUUGGCACUAGAAGCCGAUGAAGGACGUUACUAACGACGAUAUGCUUUGGGGAGCUGUAAGUAAGCUUUGAUCCAGAGAUUUCCGAAUGGGGAAACCCAGCAUGAGUUAUGUCAUGUUAUCGAUAUGUGAAUACAUAGCAUAUCAGAAGGCACACCCGGAGAACUGAAACAUCUUAGUACCCGGAGGAAGAGAAAGAAAAUUCGAUUCCCUUAGUAGCGGCGAGCGAAACGGGAAGAGCCCAAACCAACAAGCUUGCUUGUUGGGGUUGUAGGACACUCUAUACGGAGUUACAAAGGACGACAUUAGACGAAUCAUCUGGAAAGAUGAAUCAAAGAAGGUAAUAAUCCUGUAGUCGAAAAUGUUGUCUCUCUUGAGUGGAUCCUGAGUACGACGGAGCACGUGAAAUUCCGUUGGAAUCUGGGAGGACCAUCUCCUAAGGCUAAAUACUCUCUAGUGACCGAUAGUGAACCAGUACCGUGAGGGAAAGGUGAAAAGCACCCCGGAAGGGGAGUGAAAUAGAACCUGAAACCGUGUGCUUACAAGUAGUCAGAGCCCGUUAAUGGGUGAUGGCGUGCCUUUUGUAGAAUGAACCGGCGAGUUACGAUUUGAUGCAAGGUUAAGCAGUAAAUGUGGAGCCGUAGCGAAAGCGAGUCUGAAUAGGGCGUUUAGUAUUUGGUCGUAGACCCGAAACCAGGUGAUCUACCCUUGGUCAGGUUGAAGUUCAGGUAACACUGAAUGGAGGACCGAACCGACUUACGUUGAAAAGUGAGCGGAUGAACUGAGGGUAGCGGAGAAAUUCCAAUCGAACCUGGAGAUAGCUGGUUCUCUCCGAAAUAGCUUUAGGGCUAGCCUCAAGUGAUGAUUAUUGGAGGUAGAGCACUGUUUGGACGAGGGGCCCCUCUCGGGUUACCGAAUUCAGACAAACUCCGAAUGCCAAUUAAUUUAACUUGGGAGUCAGAACAUGGGUGAUAAGGUCCGUGUUCGAAAGGGAAACAGCCCAGACCACCAGCUAAGGUCCCAAAAUAUAUGUUAAGUGGAAAAGGAUGUGGCGUUGCCCAGACAACUAGGAUGUUGGCUUAGAAGCAGCCAUCAUUUAAAGAGUGCGUAAUAGCUCACUAGUCGAGUGACACUGCGCCGAAAAUGUACCGGGGCUAAACAUAUUACCGAAGCUGUGGAUUGUCCUUUGGACAAUGGUAGGAGAGCGUUCUAAGGGCGUUGAAGCAUGAUCGUAAGGACAUGUGGAGCGCUUAGAAGUGAGAAUGCCGGUGUGAGUAGCGAAAGACGGGUGAGAAUCCCGUCCACCGAUUGACUAAGGUUUCCAGAGGAAGGCUCGUCCGCUCUGGGUUAGUCGGGUCCUAAGCUGAGGCCGACAGGCGUAGGCGAUGGAUAACAGGUUGAUAUUCCUGUACCACCUAUAAUCGUUUUAAUCGAUGGGGGGACGCAGUAGGAUAGGCGAAGCGUGCGAUUGGAUUGCACGUCUAAGCAGUAAGGCUGAGUAUUAGGGAAAUCCGGUACUCAUUAAGGCUGAGCUGUGAUGGGGAGAAGACAUUGUGUCUUCGAGUCGUUGAUUUCACACUGCCGAGAAAAGCCUCUAGAUAGAAAAUAGGUGCCCGUACCGCAAACCGACACAGGUAGUCAAGAUGAGAAUUCUAAGGUGAGCGAGCGAACUCUCGUUAAGGAACUCGGCAAAAUGACCCCGUAACUUCGGGAGAAGGGGUGCUCUUUAGGGUUAACGCCCAGAAGAGCCGCAGUGAAUAGGCCCAAGCGACUGUUUAUCAAAAACACAGGUCUCUGCUAAACCGUAAGGUGAUGUAUAGGGGCUGACGCCUGCCCGGUGCUGGAAGGUUAAGAGGAGUGGUUAGCUUCUGCGAAGCUACGAAUCGAAGCCCCAGUAAACGGCGGCCGUAACUAUAACGGUCCUAAGGUAGCGAAAUUCCUUGUCGGGUAAGUUCCGACCCGCACGAAAGGCGUAACGAUUUGGGCACUGUCUCAACGAGAGACUCGGUGAAAUCAUAGUACCUGUGAAGAUGCAGGUUACCCGCGACAGGACGGAAAG